UACGUAGGGUGCGAGCGUUGUCCGGAAUUAUUGGGCGUAAAGAGCUUGUAGGUGGUUUGUCGCGUCUGCUGUGAAAAUCCGAGGCUCAACCUCGGGCCUGCAGUGGGUACGGGCAAACUAGAGUGCGGUAGGGGAGAUUGGAAUUCCUGGUGUAGCGGUGGAAUGCGCAGAUAUCAGGAGGAACACCGAUGGCGAAGGCAGAUCUCUGGGCCGUAACUGACGCUGAGGAGCGAAAGCGUGGGGAGCGAACAGG
rnacentral:rRNA from 1 species